rnacentral:rRNA from 1 species
GAUGAACGCUAGCGGUGUGCCUAAUGCAUGCAAGUCGAACGGGAUCCUUUGGAUUCGUCUGAAGGUGAGAGUGGCGAACGGGUGAGUAACACGUAGGUGACCUGCCCCGGAGAGGGGGACAACCACUGGAAACGGUGGCUAAUACCCCAGAUGUUAUUGCGCUUAGAAAGCAAUUACUAAAGUUCCGGCGCUCCGGGAGGGGCCUGCGGCCCAUCAGCUUGUUGGUAAGGUAAUGGCUUACCAAGGCUAAGACGGGUAGGGGGCGUGAGAGCGUGACCCCCCACACUGGUACUGAGACACGGACCAGAUACCUGCGGGUAGCAGCAGCAAGGAAUAUUGCCCAACUGGACGAAAGUACUGAGGCAGCAACAACCGCGUGGAGGAUGAAGGCCUCGGUUGUAAC